AUUGAACGCUGGCGGCAUGCCUUACACAUGCAAGUCGAACGGCAGCGGGGGAGAAGCUUGCUUUUCCUGCCGGCGAGUGGCGAACGGGUGAGUAAUACAUCGGAACGUGCCCUGUAGUGGGGGAUAACUAGUCGAAAGAUUAGCUAAUACCGCAUACGACCUGAGGGUGAAAGUGGGGGACCGCAAGGCCUCAUGCUAUAGGAGCGGCCGAUGUCUUAUUAGCUAGUUGGUGGGGUAAAGGCCUACCAAGGCGACGAUCCCUAGCUGGUCUGGGAGGAUGACCAGCCACACUGGAACUGAGACACGGUCCGGACUCCUACGGGAGGCAGCAGUAGUGAAUAUUGCACAAUGGGCGCAAGCCUGAUGCAGCCAUGCCGCGUGUAUGAAGAAGGCCUUCGGGUUGUAAAGUACUUUCAGCGGGGAGGAAGGCGGUGAAGUUAAUAACUUCACCGAUUGACGUUACCCGCAGAAGAAGCACCGGCUAACUCCGUGCCAGCCGCCGCGGUAA
rnacentral:rRNA from 1 species